rnacentral:rRNA from 1 species
CGGUAAUUCCAGCUCCAAUAGCGUAUAUUAAAGUUGUUGCAGUUAAAAAGCUCGUAGUUGAAUUUCGGGAUCAAUACGUCGGUCGUGCUUUCGGGUACGUACUGGCGUCAUUGGUUUCUCCUUUCUGACGAACCAUGAUGUCAUUAAUUUGGUGUUAUGGGAGUUAGGACUGUUACUUUGAAAAAAUUAGAGUGUUUAAAGCAGGCAUUAGCUUGAAUACAUUAGCAUGGAAUAAUGAAAUAGGACGUUCGAUCCUAUUUUGUUGGUUUCUAGGAUCAACGUAAUGAUUAAUAGGGAUAUUUGGGGGGCAUUAGUAUUCAAUUGUCAGAGGUGAAAUUCUUGGAUUUAUUGAAGACUAACUACUGCGAAAGCAUUUGCCAAGGAUGUUUUCAUUAAUCAAGAACGAAAGUUAGGGGGAUCGAAGACGAUCAGAUACCGUCGUAGUCUUAACCAUAAACUAUGCCGACUAGGGAUCGGAUGAUGUUAAUUUUUUAAUGACUCAUUCGGCGCCUUACG